rnacentral:rRNA from 1 species
AUUGAACGCUGGCGGCAGGCUUAACACAUGCAAGUCGAGCGGAGAGAGGUAGCUUGCUACUGAUCUUAGCGGCGGACGGGUGAGUAAUGCUUAGGAAUCUGCCUAUUAGUGGGGGACAACAUUUCGAAAGGAAUGCUAAUACCGCAUACGUCCUACGGGAGAAAGCAGGGGAUCUUCGGACCUUGCGCUAAUAGAUGAGCCUAAGUCGGAUUAGCUAGUUGGUGGGGUAAAGGCCUACCAAGGCGACGAUCUGUAGCGGGUCUGAGAGGAUGAUCCGCCACACUGGGACUGAAACACGGCCCAGACUCCUACGGGAGGCAGCAGUGGGGAAUAUUGGACAAUGGGCGGAAGCCUGAUCCAGCCAUGCCGCGUGUGUGAAGAAGGCCUUAUGGUUGUAAAGCACUUUAAGCGAGGAGGAGGCUCUUCUGGUUAAUACCCAGGAUGAGUGGACGUUACUCGCAGAAUAAGCACCGGCUAACUCUGUGCCAGCAGCCGCCGUAAAAC